CCCUACGGGGCGCAGCAGUGAGGAAUAUUGGUCAAUGGGCUUACGCCUGAACCAGCCAAGUCGCGUGAGGGAAGACUGCCCUAUGGGUUGUAAACCUCUUUUGCCGGGGAGCAAGGGCGGGGACGUGUCCCGGCCCGGAGAGUACCCGGAGAAAAAGCAUCGGCUAACUCCGUGCCAGCAGCCGCGGUAAUACGGAGGAUGCGAGCGUUAUCCGGAUUUAUUGGGUUUAAAGGGUGCGUAGGCGGGCUUUUAAGUCAGCGGUAAAAAUUCGGGGCUCAACCCCGUCCGGCCGUUGAAACUGGGGG
rnacentral:rRNA from 1 species